rnacentral:rRNA from 1 species
AACGAACGCUGGCGGCAUGCCUAACACAUGCAAGUCGAACGAGACCUUCGGGUCUAGUUGCGCACGGGUGCGUAACGCGUGGGAACCUUCCCUUAGGUUCGGAAUAACUCCCCGAAAGGGGUGCUAAUACCGGAUAAUUUCUUCGGACCAAAGAUUUAUCGCCUUUGGAUGGGCCCGCGUUGGAUUAGCUAGUUGGUAGGGUAAAAGCCUACCAAGGCGACGAUGCAUAGCUGGUCUGAGAGGAUGAUCAGCCACACUGGGACUGAGACACGGCCCAGACUCCUACGGGAGGCAGCAGUGGGGAAUAUUGGACAAUGGGCGAAAGCCUGAUCCAGCAAUGCCGCGUGAGUGAUGAAGGCCUUAGGGUUGUAAAGCUCUUUUACCCGGGAUGAUAAUGACAGUACCGGGAGAAUAAGCUCCGGCUAACUCCGUG